rnacentral:rRNA from 1 species
CUGACUGCUAUCGGAUUGAUACUAAGCCAUGCGAGUCAUUGUAGCAAUACAAGGCAGACGGCUCAGUAACGCGUAGUCAACCUAACCUAUGGACGGGGGUAACCUCGGGAAAACUGAGAAUAAUGCCCCGAUAGAACACUAUACCUGGAAUGGUUUGUGUUCCAAAUGAUUUAUCGCCGUAGGAUGGGACUGCGGCCUAUCAGUUUGUUGGUGAGGUAAUGGCCCACCAAGACUAUUACAGGGUACGGGCUCUGAGAGGAGUAGCCCGGAGAUGGGUACUGAGACACGGACCCAGGCCCUAUGGGGCGCAGCAGGCGAGAAAACUUUGCAAUGUGCGAAAGCACGACAAGGUUAAUCCGAGUGGUUUGUGCUAAACGAACCUUUUGUCGGUCCUAGAAACACCGAUGAAUAAGGGGUGGGCAAGUUCUGGUGUCAGCCGCCGCGGUAAAACCAGCACCUCAAGUGGUCAGGAUGAUUAUUGGGCCUAAAGCAUCCGUAGCCGGCGCUAUAAGUUUUCGGUUAAAUCUGUACCCUCAACGUACAGGGCUGCCGGGGAAUACUGUAGCGCUAGGGAGUGGGAGAGGUAGACGGUACUCGGUAGGAAGGGGUAAAAUCCUUGGAUCUAUUGGAUG